AGGAGUAGAUCAAGGUGCAACCGGGGGCGCUUCGAACAAUGAAGCUGCUAAGACCAUGGAGGCUACAGAAAACAAAGUAGAGGAACAGCCCCGGGAAAGCCGCCAAGACAACGGAGGCAUCUGCAGUCUGCUUGCGCCUCUGGCGAACCUGGCUCAGAAGGUCGUCGCCAUGUUCCCUGUAGUGGGUCCUUUCUUAAAGAAAUUCGUGUCCUUCGUCGAGAAAAUGUUGUGCAACAGAAAUGCGGGGAUCGCGUGAAUGCCCAUUCGGUGGUGGAUCUCACACCACGCGCUAUCCCGGGGAUAUAGGAAUGUUUACUUGUCGUUUCCAAAAUCUUAGAAAUUUAUCAUCUUUGAAAUUUCGUUUUUUCGAAACACUCAUCAGAUUUGAUCAAUUCAAAGAUACGGCAUUGCUUUUUACAGAACCAAUAAAACAUAAUUUUGGAUUUU